GACGAACGCUGGCGGCGUGCCUAAUACAUGCAGGUAGAACGCUGAAGAGAGGAGCUUGCUCUUCUUGGAUGAGUUGCGAACGGGUGAGUAACGCGUAGGUAACCUGCCUUGUAGCGGGGGAUAACUAUUGGAAACGAUAGCUAAUACCGCAUAACAAUGGAUGACACAUGUCAUUUAUUUGAAAGGGGCAAUUGCUCCACUACAAGAUGGACCUGCGUUGUAUUAGCUAGUAGGUGAGGUAAUGGCUCACCUAGGCGACGAUACAUAGCCGACCUGAGAGGGUGAUCGGCCACACUGGGACUGAGACACGGCCCAGACUCCUACGGGAGGCAGCAGUAGGGAAUCUUCGGCAAUAGGGGCAACCCUGACCGAGCAACGCCGCGUGAGUGAAGAAGGUUUUCGGAUCGUAAAGCUCUGUUGUAAGUCAAGAACGGGUGUGAGAGUGGAAAGUUCACACUGUGACGGUAGCUUACCAGAAAGGGACGGCUAACUACGUG
rnacentral:rRNA from 1 species